rnacentral:snoRNA from 1 species
AUCCCAGGCGUGACAUUUGUGCACGACUGAUUCAUUUGAGGCUGAAAUCAACUCGGAAGUUUCGCUGACAGCAUCCAACGUGAUUCUCACGUCAAUGGAUGUGCUCUGAUAGUAGCUUUUGGACACUU